rnacentral:rRNA from 1 species
UAGGGAAUCUUCGGCAAUGGACGGAAGUCUGACCGAGCAACGCCGCGUGAGUGAAGAAGGUUUUCGGAUCGUAAAGCUCUGUUGUAAGAGAAGAACGAGUGUGAGAGUGGAAAGUUCACACUGUGACGGUAUCUUACCAGAAAGGGACGGCUAACUACGUGCCAGCAGCCGCGGUAAUACGUAAGGUCCCAGCGUUGUCCGGAAUUUAUGGGCGUAAAGCGGGCCGCGGGGGGUAAAUUAAUCUGAAGUUUUAGGGGGGGGGGUUAACCAAAAUACGCUUUUGGAAAAAGGUGUUUAUCUUGAGUGCAAGAGGGGAGAGUGGAAUUCCAUGUGUAGCGGUGAAAUGCGUAGAUAUAUGGAGGAACACCGGUGGCGAAAGCGGCUCUCUGGCUUGUAACUGACGCUGAGGCUCGAAAGCGUGGGGAGCAAACAGGAUUAGAUACCCUGGUAGUCCACGCCGUAAACGAUGAGUGCUAGGUGUUAGACCCUUUCCGGGGUUUAGUGCCGUAGCUAACGCAUUAAGCACUCCGCCUGGGGAGUACGACCGCAANGGUUG